UAGGGAUAUAGCUCAGGAGGUAGAGCACUUUUUUUGCAAAAAAGAAAUUUACGGUUCAAGUCCGUUUAUCUCCA
rnacentral:tRNA from 1 species